AUUCCAGCUCCAAUAGCGUAUAUUAAAGUUGUUGCAGUUAAAAAGCUCGUAGUUGGAUUUCUGGUCUAAUGCGCCUGGCCCGCUGCCGUUAGGUAUGUGAGUGCCGGUGCGCGUUUACCAUCCUUCCAGAGAACACUUCUACCAUUUAUUUGGACGGAUGUUGUCUUCUGGAUCUUUUACUUUGAAAAAAUUAGAGUGUUUAAAGCAGGCCUUUGCUGUGAAUACAUUAGCAUGGAAUAAUAAUCUAGGACUACGGUUCUAUUUUGUUGGUUUCUAGUACUGAAGUAAUGAUUGAUAGGGACAGUUGGGGGCAUUUGUAUUUAAUAGUCAGAGGUGAAAUUCUUGGAUUUGUUAAAGACGGACUACUGCGGAAGCAUCUGCCAUGGAUGUUUUCAUUA
rnacentral:rRNA from 1 species